UACGUAGGGUGCAAGCGUUAAUCGGAAUUACUGGGCGUAAAGCGUGCGCAGGCGGUUGUGCAAGACAGGUGUGAAAUCCCCGGGCUUAACCUGGGAACUGCACUUGUGACUGCACAGCUGGAGUACGGCAGAGGGGGAUGGAAUUCCGCGUGUAGCAGUGAAGUGCGUAGAUAUGCGGAGGAACACCGAUGGCGAAGGCAGUCCCCUGGGCCUCGUAC
rnacentral:rRNA from 1 species